rnacentral:rRNA from 1 species
CAGAUGCUAAUACCGAUAAUAACAGAUGAUGCCUAUCAACUGUUUAAAAGAUGGUUCUGCUAUCACUCUUGGAUUGACCUGCGGUGCAUUAGCUAGUUGGUAGGGUAACGGCCUACCAAGGCGAUGAUGCAUAGCCGAGUUGAGAGACUGAUCGGCCACAUUGGGACUGAGACACGGCCCAAACUCCUACGGGAGGCAGCAGAC